rnacentral:rRNA from 1 species
AAUCCAUAGGUUAAUGAGGCGAACCGGGGGAACUGAAACAUCUAAGUACCCCGAGGAAAAGAAAUCAACCGAGAUUCCCCCAGUAGCGGCGAGCGAACGGGGAGGAGCCCAGAGCCUGAAUCAGCAUGUGUGUUAGUGGAAGCGUCUGGAAAGGCGCGCGAUACAGGGUGACAGCCCCGUACACAAAAGCGCAUGUGCUGUGAGCUCGAUGAGUAGGGCGGGACACGUGGUAUCCUGUCUGAAUAUGGGGGGACCAUCCUCCAAGGCUAAAUACUCCUGACUGACCGAUAGUGAACCAGUACCGUGAGGGAAAGGCGAAAAGAACCCCGGCGAGGGGAGUGAAAAAGAACCUGAAACCGUGUACGUACAAGCAGUGGGAGCACAGGUUUACCUGUGUGACUGCGUACCUUUUGUAUAAUGGGUCAGCGACUUAUAUUCUGUAGCAAGGUUAACCGUAUAGGGGAGCCGGAGGGAAACCGAGUCUUAACCGGGCGUUAAGUUGCAGGGUAUAGACCCGAAACCCGGUGAUCUAGCCAUGGGCAGGUUGAAGGUUGGGUAACACUAACUGGAGGACCGAACCGACUAAUGUUGAAAAAUUAGCGGAUGACCUGUGGCUGGGGGUGAAAGGCCAAUCAAACCGGGAGAUAGCUGGUUCUCCCCGAAAGCUAUUUAGGUAGCGCCUCGUGAACUCAUCUCCGGGGGUAGAGCACUGUUUCGGCUAGGGGGCCAUCCCGGCUUACCAACCCGAUGCAAACUGCGAAUACCGGAGAAUGUUAUCACGGGAGACACACGGCGGGUGCUAACGUCCGUCGUGAAGAGGGAAACAACCCAGACCGCCAGCUAAGGUCCCAAAGUCAUGGUUAAGUGGGAAACGAUGUGGGAAGGCCCAGACAGCCAGGAUGUUGGCUUAGAAGCAGCCAUCAUUUAAAGAAAGCGUAAUAGCUCACUGGUCGAGUCGGCCUGCGCGGAAGA